rnacentral:rRNA from 1 species
CGCCUCUUGAAGUAAUAAUAUAAGAGGUACUGCCUGCCCAGUGACAAUCGUUUAACGGCCGCGGUAUUAUGACCGUGCAAAGGUAGCGUAAUCACUUGUCUAUUAAAUAUAGACCAGUAUGAAUGGCAAAACGAGAGCUCAACUGUCUCUUUAAAUUAAUCAGUGAAAUUGAUCUUUCCGUGCAGAAGCGGAAAUAUAAUUAUAAGACGAGAAGACCCUAUGGAGCUUCAAACCUAAACUAAUUAUACUUUAUGUAACUAUAACAAUAAUUUAGUACUCGGUUUUAGGUUGGGGUGACCACGGGAUAAAAUUUAACUCCCGAGAUGAAAAAAUUAAGAAAUACAUUUCAAAAUAAUAAUAUCAUUAACAUAAUUGAUCCUUAUUUGAUCAACGAAACAAGUUACCCUAGGGAUAACAGCGCAAUCCUCUCAAAAAGUCCAUAUCGACGAGAGGGUUUACGACCUCGAUGUUGGAUCAGGACAUCCAAAUGGUGCAGCAGCUAUUAAAGGUUCGUUUGUUCAACGAUUAAAGUCCU